rnacentral:rRNA from 1 species
GUGGGGAAUAUUGGACAAUGGGCGAAAGCCUGAUCCAGCCAUGCCGCGUGUGUGAAGAAGGUCUUCGGAUUGUAAAGCACUUUAAGUUGGGAGGAAGGGCAGUAAGUUAAUACCUUGCUGUUUUGACGUUACCGACAGAAUAAGCACCGGCUAACUUCGUGCCAGCAGCCGCGGUAAUACGAAGGGUGCAAGCGUUAAUCGGAAUUACUGGGCGUGAAGCGGGCGUAGGUGGUUUUGUAAGUUGGAAGUGAAAUCCCCGGGCUCAACCUGGAAACUGCCUCCAAAACUGCAUGACUAGAGUACGGUAGAGGGUAGUGGAAUUUCCUGUGUAGCGGUGAAAUGCGUAGAUAUAGGAAGGAAAACCAGUAGCGAAGGCGACUACCUGGACUGAUACUGACACUGAGGUGCGAAAGCGUGGGGAGCAAACAGGAUUAGAUACCCUAGUAGUCC